rnacentral:rRNA from 1 species
CACGUAGGGUGCGAGCGUUGUCCGGAAUUAUUGGGCGUAAAGAGCUCGUAGGCGGUGUGUCGCGUCGGCCGUGAAAACCUGGGGCUCAACCCCGGGCCUGCAGCCGAUACGGGCGGACUAGAAUUCGGUAGGGGAGACUGGAAUUCCUGGUGUAGCGGUGAAAUGCGCAGAUAUCAGGAGGAACACCGGUGGCGAAGGCGGGUCUCUGGGCCGAUAUUGACGCUGAGGAGCGAAAGCGUGGGGAGCGAACAGG